rnacentral:rRNA from 1 species
ACUGCUCAGUAACACGUGGACAACCUACCCUUGGGUCCGGCAUAAUCCUGGGAAACUGGGGAUAAUUCCGGAUAGGUCACCGAUGCUGGAAUGCUCGGUGGUCCAAAGCUCCGGCGCCCAAGGAUGGGUCUGCGGCCUAUCAGAGUUGUAGUGGGUGUAAUGUACCUACUAGCCUACGACGGGUACGGGUUGUGAGAGCAAGAGCCCGGAGAUGGAUUCUGAGACACGAAUCCAGGCCCUACGGGGUGCAGCAGGCGCGAAAACUUUACAAUGCGGGAAACCGUGAUAAGGGAAUCUCGAGUGCCAGCAUAUAAUGUUGGCUGUCCAGAUGCCUAAAAAGCAUUUGUUAGCAAGGGCCGGGCAAGACCGGUGCCAGCCGCCGCGGUAACACCGGCGGCCCGAGUGGUAACCGCUAUUAUUGGGUCUAAAGGGUCUGUAGCCGGCCAGGUAAGUCCCUUGGGAAAUCUGGCAGCUUAACUGUCAGGCUGCUAGGGGAUACUGUCUGGCUUGGGACCGGGAGAGGUGAGAGGUAC